rnacentral:rRNA from 1 species
CUAUACAUGACUCUGUGCAUAUCAAUAAGCGGAGGAAAAGAAACUAACAAGGAUUCCCUUAGUAACGGCGAGUGAAGCGGGAAGAGCUCAAAUUUGAAAUCUUCAAGGUUCUACCUUGACGAAUUGUAGUUUAUAGAAGUGUUUUCUGUUAGUGGAGUGGCAAAAGUUCUUUGGAAUAGGACAUCAUAGAGGGUGAGAAUCCCGUAUUUGGUCAUUCCUCCUAGCGUUGUGAUACACUUUCAACGAGUCGGAUUGUUUGGGAAUGCAGUCCAAAAUGGGUGGUAAAUUUCAUCUAAAGCUAAAUAUUGGCGAGAGACCGAUAGCGAACAAGUACCGUGAGGGAAAGAUGAAAAGAACUUUGAAAAGAGAGUUAAACAGUACGUGAAAUUGUCAAAAGGGAAGCGUUUGACACCAGUGUUGUUUUUCCGAAAAUCAAUUACGAAUGUUUUAUUUUUGAGGAAGUUAUGACUUCAUCGGCUUGCUCCUUUCUUUAUGAAACUUUCUUAAUGCACUUUUCGGUUAACAAGUCAACAUCAAUUUCUUUUGUUGUAAAAGGGUAUGAGGAAGGUGGCUUUCUUUUCGGAGAAAGUGUUUAUAGCCUUGUACCUCUGCAAUCGGAGAGAUUGAGGUCUGCAGCGUAGAUCCUUCGGGGUUAGAUACAUUUGUGCUAAGUUAUAGCUUUUCAUAGACAACUUGUUGACUAUGUUAAGUCUUGUAGCUUACUCGCUUAUGCUAUUUUACCUACGCUUAGGAUGUUGACACACGCGCGUGCUCG